CUGGAGGGUGGGGUGAGGCCAGCUUCGGUCUGGAAUGGUGGCCAUGGCGAGCUCCGUGCGUCCCGUCUUAAACGGUCCGCUGGAGACAGGAGGAACGCAUGACCUUACUCGGUGAGGUGACCAAGGAGACGCCAAGACUCAUGUUUGUUUUCCUAUCCAGAUCCAACCUGCACUUCAACUUUACAUCUGAGUUCUCCAAGAAAUCCCCACUGCUCUUGCCUUCCCGUUUGGUACUACGUAGGGGACUGGCCGGCUCCCCAAACCUUUGUACGGAGUCCCCAAAGCCAAGGCUGUCUCUGCUCACACUAGCAGGAAAUGGAGGAAUUGAAAUCACUGUGCAGUAAUAUCAAGAGGUGGGUGAGUGGGACUGGAGAGAUGACUCAGUGGUUAAGAGCACUGGCUGCUCCCUCCACGGGAUCUGAACUCAAUUCCCAGCACCUUCAUGGGGGCUCAUGACCGUCUCUUAACUCCAGUUCCAGGGGAUAUAAUAACCUCUUCUGGUCUCCGAGGAUGCCAGGCACACAAGCGGUUUACAGACAUACAUGCAGACAAAAUACCCAUGCACAUAAACUUUAAAGAAAUUCUUAAAGGUGGAUUUGGGAGAUGUGGUCCUCCGAGCUUUGCCUGACCAUCACCAUCCUGGGACAUGAGUUACCAUGGCGACUGUGCAGAGACCCCAGCUUGUGACCGGGACAUAGCAGAACUUAAAUAAAAUUGAGGGGAUAAUGAAUUGA